rnacentral:rRNA from 1 species
AAAGUUUGAUCCUGGCUCAGGAUGAACGCUGGCGGCAUGCCUAAGACAUGCAAGUCGAACGAGAUGGCCCAGUGAAGGUUGAGUGCUUGCACGAGACUGAAUCUGGAUUCCCAUCUAGUGGCAGACGGGUGAGUAACACGUGGGUGACCUACCUUUUCGUUGGGGAUAACAGUUGGAAACGAUUGCUAAUACCGAAUAAAAUGUAAGAGUCAAUUUUACAUUGAAAGGAGCCUUUAAAGCUUCGCGAUUAG